rnacentral:rRNA from 1 species
GAAACUUAAAGGAAUUGACGGGGGCCCGCACAAGCGGAGGAACAUGUGGUUUAAUUCGAUGAUACGCGAGGAACCUUACCUGGGCUUAAAUGUAGAACGACGGAUCGGGAAACUGAUCUUUCUUCGGACGGUCUGCAAGGUGCUGCAUGGCUGUCGUCAGCUCGUGCCGUGAGGUGUCGGGUUAAGUCCCAUAACGAGCGCAACCCUCAUCAUUAGUUGCCAGCGGGUAAUGCCGGGGACUCUAAUGAAACUGCCGGUGUAAACCGAGAGGAAGGUGGGGAUGACGUCAAGUCAGCACGGCCCUUAUGUCCAGGGCUACACACGUGUUACAAUGGUCGGUACAAAGGGCAGCUACCUGGUGACAGGAUGCUAAUCUCCAAAACCGAUCUUAGUUCGGAUCGAAGUCUGCAACUCGACUUCGUGAAGCUGGAUUCGCUAGUAAUCGCGCAUCAGCCACGGCGCGGUGAAUACGUUCCCGGGCCUUGUACACACCGCCCGUCAAGCCAUGGAAGCUGGGGGUACCUGAAGUCCGUAACCGCAAGGAGCGGCCUAGGGUAAAACUAGUAACUGGGGCUAAGUCGUAACAA